UACGUAGGGGGCAAGCGUUGUCCGGAAUCAUUGGGCGUAAAGAGCGUGUAGGCGGCUCGAUAAGUCCGCUGUGAAAGUCCAGGGCUCAACCCUGGAAGGCCGGUGGAAACUGUCGGGCUAGAGUCCGGAAGAGGCGAGUGGAAUUCCCGGUGUAGCGGUGAAAUGCGCAGAUAUCAGGAGGAACACCGAUGGCGAAGGCAGGUCUCUGGGCAGUAACUGACGCUGAGGAGCGAAAGCAUGGGGAGCGAACAGG
rnacentral:rRNA from 1 species